UGCCCAGCAACUCCUAUCCCUACCUCCUCGCGGUACGGGCCGGGGUACGAGUAACCUCAGGAAUGAUCGGGUAACUAACGCUGACAAGGAAGG
rnacentral:ribozyme from 1 species